GCAUGGUGUAGACUUUCCUUACCUUGGAGAGCAGGGGACACGGUGGUGGCGGAUGGCAGGGGCGGCACUUGGUAGGGGAGGUGGAGCUUGACAGGGGCGAUGCUUGGCAGGGGCGGCGGCAAAUGGCAGGGGCGGCGCUUGGUAGGGGCGGCGGCAGAUGGCAGGACCGGCGGCAACGGUCAGGGGCGCCGGCAGAUGGCACGGGCGGCGGCACCGGUCAGGGGCGGCGGAUGGCAGGGGGGCGGCGGAGGUCAGGAGCGGCGGAGGAUGUCAGGGAUGGCGGAAUGUAGGGGAGGCGGCGACGUAGGCGAGAUCCAGCCGGUGGAAGGUCCGACGGCGGCGAGAUCCAGCCGGUGGAAGUCCGGCCGGUAGAGAUGGCAGGGGAGAAGGUGUGGCCGAGACUUGGUGCGCCGGGAGAGGGGUGGCGGAUGGGGGGAAGGAGGAGGCGGCGGAGGCGAGAUCCAGCCCCUGGAAGGUCCGGCGGCGGCGAGAUCCAGCCGGUGAAAGGUCCGGCCGGGAGAGAUGGUAGGGGAGGAGGUGCGGCCGGGAGAUGGUGCGCCGUGAGAGGGGCGGCG
rnacentral:lncRNA from 1 species